rnacentral:misc_RNA from 1 species
ACAGAUGUCAAGUAUGUCAUCCCAAUGUUCAUAAGCGAAAUUCUCCUUGUGAUAAGCUAAGCACCACUUUGCAUGAAUUGAGCCUCCACGAGAAACAAUUCCGGUCAUCCGUUUUGCUGUCAGUGGGAUGUACCUGAGAAGGACUCCGGCAUGGAUUGUGAAGUAAUCAACUCCUUGCUCAGCUUGUUCAAUUAAGGUCUCCCUAAACACUUCCCAACUAAGAUUCUCAGCAAUCCCGUUUACUUUUUCUAGUGCUUGGUAAAUUGGCACAGUGCCUACUGGUACAGCAGAAUUACGCAAGAUCCACUCACGAGUCUCGUGGAUGUGACGACCAGUAGAGAGAUCCAUAAUCGUAUCUGCACCCCACAUUGUUGCCCAUUGAAGCUUGUGAACUUCUUCUUCAAUCGAGCUUACAACAGCAGAGUUCCCGAUGUUGGCAUUGACUUUCACUAAGAACUUUCUUCCUACUAUCAUUGGCUCCAACUCAGGGUGCUUCUUGUUUGAAGGGAUGAUUGCACGGCCCCGAGCAACUUCUGACCUCACAAAUUCCGGAUCCAUCUUCUCACGAGCAGCACAGUACACCAUUUCCUCAGUUAUGAUUCCCUGCUUAGCAUAGAACAUUUGAGUAUACCUUGGUCCUCCUAACUUCUCCCUCCUGUUAAUCCACUCCGUGCGCAGCUUGGGAAGUCCAACGCGCGGGUUAACACCCUGAGGACCACUGGUAUCAUAAGUGUCGAAAUGUGGUUCAUCCCCGGAAAGAUGGAUACGUCGAAAUGGGACUUUGAGUACAUGACCAGUUUCUUCAUGCAUAACUUCACUGUAUUCCUUGGAGCUUUUCGGAAAGCAUUGUUCGAAUGGUGGAAGGGGCAGGAAAUCAGGAGCAUUAGGAUCAACAGUGUGCUUUGGCUUUGUCUUCUCUUUAUUAUCAGUACUGGGAGGAUCAAAGGUAAGUGUUGCUCUCGGGCUUGAAAAAGAAUUGAAACGCGUUUCCCUUCUCCCUGUAACCGCAACUUGCCCUGUCAAAUCAAACCCUGGCAAGAAGGAACUUCUUGGAACAUUUACUUGUGGAUUAUUGUUCCCUUUCUUGCAUAGGAGUGAUGUCAAAGCAGUUUGGACAGACGCCAUCUUCCAAUCAACGUCUGAAGCAAAUGAAUUAGAGCUGUAAAUGAUGAGAAGAGGGAGAAAA